GAUGAACGCUGGCGGCGUGCCUAAUACAUGCAAGUCGAGCGAACAGACGAGGAGCUUGCUCCUCUGACGUUAGCGGCGGACGGGUGAGUAACACGUGGAUAACCUACCUAUAAGGCUGGGAUAACUUCGGGAAACCGAAGCUAAUACCGGAUAAUAUAUUGAACCGCAUGGUUCAAUAGUGAAAGACGGUUUUGCUGUCACUUAUAGAUGGAUCCGCGCCGCAUUAGCUAGUUGGUAAGGUAACGGCUUACCAAGGCGACGAUGCGUAGCCGACCUGAGAGGGUGAUCGGCCACACUGGAACUGAGACACGGUCCAGACUCCUACGGGAGGCAGCAGUAGGGAAUCUUCCGCAAUGGGCGAAAGCCUGACGGAGCAACGCCGCGUGAGUGAUGAAGGUCUUCGGAUCGUAAAACUCUGUUAUUAGGGAAGAACAAAUGUGUAAGUAACUAUGCACGUCUUGACGGUACCUAAUCAGAAAGCCACGGCUAACUACGUG
rnacentral:rRNA from 1 species